CCGUGGCGAGCUACCAUGCAGUCGAGCGGAACGAGUUGUCUGACCCUUCGGGGAACGACAACGGCGUCGAGCGGCGGACGGGUGAGUAAUGCCUGGGAAAUUGCCCUGAUGUGGGGGAUAACCAUUGGAAACGAUGGCUAAUACCGCAUAAUAGCUUCGGCUCAAAGAGGGGGACCUUCGGGCCUCUCGCGUCAGGAUAUGCCCAGGUGGGAUUAGCUAGUUGGUGAGGUAAAGGCUCACCAAGGCGACGAUCCCUAGCUGGUCUGAGAGGAUGAUCAGCCACACUGGAACUGAGACACGGUCCAGACUCCUACGGGAGGCAGCAGUGGGGAAUAUUGCACAAUGGGCGCAAGCCUGAUGCAGCCAUGCCGCGUGUGUGAAGAAGGCCUUCGGGUUGUAAAGCACUUUCAGCAGUGAGGAAGGGUGUGUAUUUAAUAGAUGCACAUUUUGACGUUAGCUGCAGAAGAAGCACCGGCUAACUCCGUGCCAGCAGCCGCGGUAAUACGGAGGGUGCGAGCGUUAAUCGGAAUUACUGGGCGUAAAGCGCAUGCAGGUGGUUUGUUAAGUCAGAUGUGAAAGCCCGGGGCUCAACCUCGGAACUGCAUUUGAAACUGGCAGGCUAGAGUACUGUAGAGGGGGGUAGAAUUUCAGGUGUAGCGGUGAAAUGCGUAGAGAUCUGAAGGAAUACCGGUGGCGAAGGCGGCCCCCUGGACAGAUACUGACACUCAGAUGCGAAAGCGUGGGGAGCAAACAGGAUUAGAUACCCUGGUAGUCCACGCCGUAAACGAUGUCUACUUGGAGGUUGUGGCCUUGAGCCGUGGCUUUCGGAGCUAACGCGUUAAGUAGACCGCCUGGGGAGUACGGUCGCAAGAUUAAAACUCAAAUGAAUUGACGGGGGCCCGCACAAGCGGUGGAGCAUGUGGUUUAAUUCGAUGCAACGCGAAGAACCUUACCUACUCUUGACAUCCAUAGAACUUAGCAGAGAUGCUUUGGUGCCUUCGGGAACUAUGAGACAGGUGCUGCAUGGCUGUCGUCAGCUCGUGUUGUGAAAUGUUGGGUUAAGUCCCGCAACGAGCGCAA
rnacentral:rRNA from 1 species